AGUUCCUUCGUGAAAUUGGUAAACACACUAGUCUAAUAAACUGGCAUUUGCAGGUUCGAGCCCUGCAGGAUAAA
rnacentral:tRNA from 1 species